GAAUUGCGAUAAGUAAUGUGAAUUGCAGAUUUUCAGUGAAUCAUCGAAUCUUUGAACGCAUCUUGCGCUCCUUGGUAUUCCGAGGAGCAUGCCUGUUUGAGUGUCAUCGAGUUCUCAACCAUGUCUUGAUUGAUUUCAAGGCCAUGGCUUGGAGGUUGGGGGUUGCUGGCGGCGAUCUGGCUGUUGGCUCUCCUGAAAUGCAUUAGCAAAAGGGCGUGAAUGUCUUUCGGUGUGCACGGCCUUUGACGUGAUAAUGAUCGUCGUGGCUGGAGUGCCUGGAUGUUGACGGGGGAUCACCCCUUCCCUUGUGCUUCUAAUCCGUAUGCUAGUCAGUUUCUGGCUAGCUUUCUUGCGACUUGACCUCAAAUCAGGUAGGACUACCCGCUGAACUUAA
rnacentral:rRNA from 1 species